rnacentral:rRNA from 1 species
UCAGGCCUAACACAUGCAAGUCGAACGCUAUUUAUAGAGUGGCGCACGGGUGAGUAACGCGUGGGAACCUGCCUUUCUCUGUGGGAUAACGGUUGGAAACGACCGCUAAUACCGCAUACGCCCUACGGGGGAAAGGUCCGCCGGAGAAAGAGGGGCCCGCGUCUGAUUAGCUAGUUGGUGGGGUAAUGGCCUACCAAGGCGACGAUCAGUAGCUGGUCUGAGAGGAUGAUCAGCCACACUGGGACUGAGACACGGCCCAGACUCCCACGGGAGGCAGCAGUGGGGAAUAUUGGACAAUGGGGGCAACCCUGAUCCAGCAAUGCCGCGUGUGUGAUGAAGGCCCUAGGGUUGUAAAGCACUUUCACUGGUGAAGAUGAUGACGGUAGCCAGAGAAGAAGCCCCGGCUAACUUCGUGCCAGCAGCCGCGGUAAUACGAAGGGGGCGAGCGUUGUUCGGAAUUACUGGGCGUAAAGGGCGCGUAGGCGGUCUUUUAAGUUAGGCGUGAAAGCCCCGGGCUCAACCUGGGAACUGCGCUUAAUACUGAAAGACUAGAAAACGGAAGAGGGUAGUGGAAUUCCCAGUGUAGAGGUGAAAUUCGUAGAUAUUGGGAAGAACACCAGUGGCGAAAGCGGCUACCUGGUCCGAUUUUGACGCUGAGGCGCGAAAGCGUGGGGAGCAAACAGGAUUAGAUACCCUGGUA